rnacentral:rRNA from 1 species
UAGGGAAUCUUCGGCAAUGGGGGGAACCCUGACCGAGCAACGCCGCGUGAGUGAAGAAGGUUUUCGGAUCGUAAAGCUCUGUUGUUAAGGAAGAACGAGUGUGAGAAUGGAAAGUUCAUACUGUGACGGUACUUAACCAGAAAGGGACGGCUAACUACGUGCCAGCAGCCGCGGUAAUACGUAGGUCCCGAGCGUUGUCCGGAUUUAUUGGGCGUAAAGCGAGCGCAGGCGGUCAAUUAAGUCUGAUGUGAAAGCCCCCGGCUCAACCGGGGAGGGUCAUUGGAAACUGGUUGACUGGAGUGCAGAAGAGGAGAGUGGAAUUCCAUGUGUAGCGGUGAAAUGCGUAGAUAUAUGGAGGAACACCAGUGGCGAAGGCGACUCUCUGGUCUGUAACUGACGCUGAGGCUCGAAAGCGUGGGUAGCAAACAGG